CUGUGGGGAAAACUGGAAAUUCUUAAUGUAUAAAUGCUAGCGAAUUGAUAUUAGCUCUGUGAAUUAGGUGGUAACACUCUCAGCAGACUAGUUUUAAAAUGAGGGGCCAGGAAGGACAGUAAUGGUGGAUCUCCUACCUGUAUGGUUGCACUUGGGGAUCCACGCUUUUUGACUGCCUUGACGGUGGCGCGCUGGAGAUGCAGCAGCUAACCUACCAGAACAAGCAAACUCCUAAAGCAGCUACUCAGGGAAGUAAGAGCAUCAGCACCCAACAAGCGACCAGCUGCUAAAAUCUGUCAUCGAUUAUCACAAAUUGAACCAGUGUCUGAGGGGCCUCAGCUACAUGAUCCAGAGAGGUGAGCAAGAAAAGAGAGAAGACCAUCUUGUGUACUACACAUUUAUUUUAUUAUGAACAUGUAAAAUAAUACAAAAUAAACUAUGCACAUUAUGCA